rnacentral:tRNA from 1 species
AAGGACUUAAGUUAAAAAAACUAAUAACCUUCAAAGUUAUAUAUAAAAUACCCAAUUUUAGGCCUUA